UACGUAGGGGGCAAGCGUUGUCCGGAUUUAUUGGGCGUAAAGAGCGUGUAGGCGGCCAAGCAGGUCCGCUGUGAAAACUCGAGGCUCAACCUCGAGAGGUCGGUGGAAACCGUUUGGCUAGAGUCCCGGGAAGAGGAGAGUGGAAUUCCCCGGUGUAGCGGUGAAAUGCGCAGAUAUCGGGAAGAACACCCGUGGCGAAGGCGGCUCUCUGGGACGGUACUGACGCUGAGACGCGAAAGCGUGGGGAGCGAACAGG
rnacentral:rRNA from 1 species